ACAUAAGCCCAGAUAAUUAUUGGACCUGCAAAAGAUCAAACCAAACCUGUUUCUGAAUUAUUUACGAGAUACUUUUAAAAUAUGUAUAAGUUACAUGAAAUGCUUUUUAUAUGUUUAAGUUCUUAUUACUAUGCAGUAUAUAACCUGUAGAAGGAGAAACAGAACACAAAUCUGACUGAAUCAACCUCAGAAACUUCGACCACAUUUUGUCAGAGUAUAAAAAUAAAAAGAAUUUAAACAGACCAAACUAAAACAUUAUUUUUCAAACCAAGGAGUGUAUAAAAACUGUCAGAGCAAACAGCUAUCCCUCAAAAAAGCAAAAGACAAACAAACUGAACUCUGACAAAAUCAAAGUCUUCUGGAAACUUUUAGUGUUGGUUAAAAAGUGAAGCAUGAGAACAAGUUUCAACAAGACGUUUCAUGUUUAAAUUAUGUCAAUAUGAGUUUUAACAAAAUUAUCCUAAGAAGGUAAACACUUUUGACUUCUGGUCUAUUUUUCACAAAAUUAGAAACCUAAAUUUUAAAUGUAUUAUUAUUAUUAUUUUGUUUAACCUUUAUUUAACCAGGAUAGUCCCACUGAGAUUAAAUACCUCUUUGUCAAGGGAGUCCUGGGCAAGAGGCAGCAGCAAAUAAAACACAAAGUGACAUAGUUAAAACAAAAACAACUAAUUAUGAAAAACGGGUACAUGUGAUUAAAAUUACUACAUGAAAUAAUGACAAAGAUAUUCACAAUUUACUGGAUCACUUGAUAUCCAGAACCUCUUGAAACAGAAAUAUAUUACAGCAAUGCAAGGAAACAAAAAGACAAAAUUACAAAUAAAGAAACGUCCUUCUCGGGUUACCCCCAGAGCAUUUAAUCCCUCUAAACAUUAAUAUAUGCAGGACAAAUCUUUCAGCAGUGAAAAGGAGGCAUUAUGAGCUGUAGAGCUGAGCUCCAUGUGACUGACUCUGUGUGUUUGCAUAUGUGUCCUGCCUCUCUGCUCCCAGCUGUUAAGAGGUCAGAGUUGAUCAGUGUCUGUCCAGGUCUUUCAGAGCCACUGACACACCAGCAGAACAAUGAAGAUGUUACUGACUCUACUGAUGACCACCCUGGAGCUCCUGGUUCAGGGUUCCUCAGGAGACAUCAUCCUGACUCAGACUCCUGGAGCUCAGUCUGGUGUUCAGGGACAGACUGUCUCUAUCAGAUGUAAAGCUGACAGACUUAUAGAUGAUGACAUUAACUGGUAUCUUCAGAAACCUGGAGAAGCUCCAAAACUUUUGAUUUGUGAUACAACAGAACGUCUGUCUGGAGUUCCAGAGCGUUUUCGAGCAACAGCUCAUCAGACUGACUUCACUUUAAUAAUCAGUGGUUUUCAGACUGAGGAUGCAGGAGUUUACUAUUGUCAGCAGCAUAACAGCUUCCCAUUCACACAGUGAUACAAGGUCGUACAAAAACCUCACAGCAGAAGAGGAAGUGAUCUGACUCAACAAGCUGCAUCUAUCUAUCUAUCUAUCUAUCUAUCUAUCUAUCUAUCUAUCUAUCUAUCUAUCUAUCUAUCACAGCUAGAACAACUGACAAUGAUCUUUGACCUUUAUGAUUUCUAAAUGACAUAAAAUGCAUAAAUGUGCAAUAGGUGUGGAUAUGAAUUAGUCAAUCCUGAACUGCCAUUCUGAGCUUCACCUAUUUUGUGAUGCUCUGUGUCAGUUGUGUUUUCCUUGUGUUUUACGAUUUUACAUCAAUUUUUGCGAGUAUUUUCAAGGGAAACUUUACCAUUUCUCUAGUGUCUUAUGAAGGUGUGUUAACAUCCACCAGAAGAGGAAGAAGCAUAUAGAAACUAGUCUUGGGCUAUAAUGUGGCAUAUUUACACAUAUUGUGUAUCUAAAAAACUUAGACAACAUCUAUCUGAGAUCAACUCACUGUCUGAAUUAAUAAAGUUAUGGAGGAUCUUUCAAUAUCA